AGCGUAGACGGUGUGGCAAGUCUGAUGUGAAAGGCAUGGGCUCAGCCUGUGGACUGCAUUGGAAACUGUCAUACUUGAGUGCCGGAGGGGUAAGCGGAAUUCCUAGUGUGCAGUGAAAUGCGUAGAUAUUAGGAGGAACACCAGUGGCGAAGGCGGCUUACUGGACGGUAACUGACGUUGAGGCUCGAAAGCGUGGGAGCAAACA
rnacentral:rRNA from 1 species